rnacentral:rRNA from 1 species
UGGUGGAGCGAUUUGUCUGGUUAAUUCCGAUAACGAACGAGACUCUGGCCUACUAAAUAGUGGGCGGAUUCAGUUCGUCCGCAACACUUCUUAGAGGGACAAGCGGUGUUCAGCCGCACGAGAUUGAGCAAUAACA